UCUCAUUCUCCUCCUUUUCUCUCCGCUUUUCCCUCCAUUGAAGAGCCGAUCUUUGGUUCUCUCUCGCUCUUUCCUUCUCUCGCUCUUUCCUCUGCUCUCUCGCUCCCUCCUUCCUCUCCUCUUUCCCCAAUGUCGCACCCUCCUUCCUCUGUCGCUGCUCCCUCGCUCCCUCCUUCCUCUCCUCUUUCCCCAACGUCGCUCCCUCCUUCCUCUCCUCUUUCCCCAAUGUCGCUCCCUCAUUCCUCUCUCGCUCCCUCCUUCCUCUCCUCUUUCCCCAACGUUGCUCCCUCCUUCCUCUCUCACUGCUGUCUUGCUCCUUCCUUCCUCUCUCGCUGCUGUCUUGCUCCCUCAUUUCCCAACGUCGCCCGCUUGCAGCCCCAGGACUUAGGCACCAUCUUCAACAGCAAAUUUUGGUUCAUCCCUCUUGGCUGUUGCUUUACUCGGGUGAGAACAGUGUCCUUGCAGAUGGGAAAUUACUAGUAACCUCUCCAAAACCCAAGGAAUAGGUACAAUUAAGACUGCAGGGGGGCAAAAUCAGAGAGCCCUAUACCGCUAUACAUUAUCGAGGAAAAUCAUUUUACCAAACCCAGAUAAUGCGACUACUGCUUAUGAUAACAAGAAGCAGCGAUUGUGCAUCAGAUCCCCGAUGUGUUCAUGCAAGCUCAGUCACGUGCAAUCUGAAGGUUUUUUUCCUUUUUCUUCUUCUCUACUUUUAUUGCAGAUUUUCUCUUCCUCAAGCUUUUAGUUUAGGCUUUUCAGUUUUAGAAAUUAGAACUGCAGAUUUAAUUGCUGGUGUUUAGGUCAUAAGAUUUUGCAUCCUCCAUGAUAAUUGCAAUGCAGUGACUUAGAUUAUAAACUUGUUCUUGUUAUGCUAUUCAAACUGGAUGGGACAACACGCUCUGGUUAAUGUUUUUUAACUUUCAUACA